ensembl:processed_transcript
CUGGUCGCCUCCACCGCCUCCUGCGCGGCCCCCCUCCUGCAACUUCACACUUCCCUUAGGCAGCCGGUCCGCUUCCGGCCUCACGGCGCGCACGCGCACUUGCACGAGUGUUUUGACAGCUCCGGCCGAAGAGAAGGAGCAGGUGUCGCGAGAGUGGGCAGCGCGCCGCCUAGUGAGGGCUGUCAUUAUGGCGAACCUGGGAAGCGAGGCCGAGCGGGAACCCCUCCUGGGCUCCGGAUCACCCGGAAGCAGGUGAGCAGGCGGGUGGGACUAGCUGGGUACCGUGUGUCCAUCGUCCCGACCCGAAACCUGACCGCACAGGCGCAUGCCCAGCAACGCCUUCGGAGCCGCUUAGGACCGGCUCCGGGAUAAUCGCGUUUACUUGGGAAUAGUGGAGAAUCUUGGUGCUUGGAGAACUUGGGUACCCAGAAAGCUGGGCAGGGGGAUGCUUCACAUAGGUCUCAGCAGCUUCAUUCACAUUGUAGCCCUUGUGCUGUGUGUCUUUAGCAUCUGCCUGAAUCCUUUCGUGGUAAUUCCUUCUUGCUUGAGAGCUUCGUUUUCUUCACUUUCUAUUUUUCCUUUAUUUUGUAUGAAGGAACCUAAGCUGCUGCUUUUACAGCAGACACUGCAUUCUGUUGACCCUGUAUAGCUGACCACUGUCACAAAAGCCCCAAAUGAUGGUUUUAACCGACACUCGAGGGUACUGACUUUUCCUAACCUGCCUAAUAACUUUUUCAUGUUUUGCAAAUAAACCCACUUAAAAUGACUCACACUUUGCUCAAUACCACAGGUACAAAAUAAAGACAUCUUUAAGCGUUUCAUUAGUAUUUUCAUCCUUGUAAUUCUCAUUUUGAUCCUAAUUUAUGAGCACUAAUUUAGAAAACUUUGGGCUUGUCUUACUGUAGUAAUAUAUAUUUUUACUUUUAGGAAACAAUAAGUAUUAUUUCAUCAAGUCUUUUAUUUGAAGCACAGUGUGUGUUUUAUUAGGUUUUUUUUUUGAGCGCGGGGGGGACAGGUGGCACAUGUGUCAUGCUUUGUACAGAGGUCAGAGGAAAACUUGUAGUACUAUGUUACUUGAUUUUAUCUUGGUGAUUAAAAUGAGUAGCAGUGUUGACAUUUGUUUCAAAAGCUGCAUCCCCCAGGCCUGUUGAGGCCUUUGAAGUUGUUGGCUUCUGCCCUGCUUUUUGCUGUGCCACCAUCCUUUUGGAGUUCAUACAGUAGUUGUCUUGCCUAUCCCACUCCUAGAAGAGACCAUCCCUCAUCUCCCUUUUGAAAUCUGUCAACAACCCUUAUUUAUGUUACCUGCAACUCCUGCCAACAACUUCUUUUUUUCCAGGCUUGUUAUUUGCCGGGACCCUGAAGUUAUUUGUACUUUCUGUAAUUUUGUGCUUCCAAUGUACUAGCUCAGCCAGGCUGGAGCUCCCUGUUAGCCGCGUGCAUACGGCUGUGGCAUUGCCAUUUCCUAGCCUGCUUGCUUUUCUUCUGUUCUAUUUCAUGUCAGGCCUAUGUUUUCCAGAAAGAGCAUGGGAUCCUUGAGUCAUAGAUGUACAGCUCACCAUAGAAAUAUGAUUUUGAUUGUAUAUGUUGUAAUCUAUCCAAAUAAGCUUACUUAAACAUAUUUUCUCUCCCUUUUAAAUAAGUGAUUGUGUUAGGCUUCAUCUAUAGUCAGAUGUUCCUGUCCAUGAAGAGUUCAUUAGAUUGAACUCUAUGUUCUAUGUUUAGCAUUUUAAAAAUUAAAAGGAAAUAUUUUCAGAACAAUUCAACAAGUAGGCUGUCUUUAAAGUCAUGAGUCGAUACCCUAGUUAUGACUAACUGCAGCGUUUGCUCACUUGCACUUCACUGUACAAAGUUCAGUACAGUGACCCAGCAGCCCUUAUCUAACAAGAUUGAUUAAUCAUGAUUUAUUGAUGUCAUUAGCUUAGAGCCUUCUUCUUUUCUUGAGUGUCUAGUGCUCUCAACUGACUGACUUUAUGAAUUUUAUUUAAGAGAACAGGAGCACUUUUUCUGUAAUAGUCCCAUUGGUGGAUAGUUUAGGUUUGUUGGUUCAGGCCCAAAGGCAAAGUCAUGGGUAGCAUAGAUACUUAGAAGAGAAAAUGUACAGAUCAUACUAAAUGAGUGCAUUGUUUAGUCAGUAGGUUGGUCUAUUGAUGAGGAACUUGGUAUUUGAAGUUAUUCUUUUGUCAUCUGGUAACAACUAUUCACCUGUAAACCAGUUUUAUCUAUCAAGCUAAAGACCACAGGUGGUGUCUGGAUUUGACCUAAAGAUUAUAGUUUGCUAGCCUUACCUUAGGGAUUUUUGAAAUGCUACAGACACUUCAAAUUUUUAUUUCAAUGUUUGUCUAUAAAAGAAAUAUUACUGCACCAUCUGUCCUUAAUGUCUGCACUGCCUCCCUCCUUUCUUCCCUCACUCCCUUCCUUUCUUCCUUCCUUUCAAGUAAGUUCUCACUUUGGAGCUCAGGCUGACUCACAACUCAGUCUGGUAGAGGCUGGACUCGAACUUAAGGUCUUCCUGCUUUCCCUCCUAAGUAGCGCAACAACAGUAAUAGGCAGGCACUAGUAUGCUUGUCUUACAGUGUACACCUUUUAUUUCUGUUGUCAAAUGUCUCCAGUUACAUUCAGUACUGCUCUCUUGGGAUGCUCACCCUUCUUGCUCUCCAGUUGUGAGUCUGGCUGGUCUGCCUUUCUGUCGUGAGAGCAGAACUUCCUUUUGAAAGUGCAGUGCUGCUCUGCCCCAGACUCUGCAAGAAUACCACCGAAUCAUAUUGUUUUACUUAUGUGCUCAGUUCACGCCAGUGUAUUAUGUAUUGUUCCUGGAUUUUAAGUCAUACGUUUGUUAAACAUUUUGCCAUCUGGAGCUGUGGUCAUCAAAAUAUUAGACCACCACAGUUUUUCUUGAAAGACCCCUUGGAAAGAAAUACAACAUUUUUUGUUUGUUUGUUUUAGGUUUUGUUUGUUUGUUUAGACUAUGUAGCCCUGGCUGACCUGGAAGUGCUAUGUAGACAAUGCUACUACCUUCAAACUCACAGAGAUCCUGCUGUCUCUGCCUCCCAAGUGCUGGGAUGAAAGGCAUGAACCAUGACACCCAGCUUCAGUGUUUCUUCUUACAUCCUUGUAAAGCAGACGUCUGUACAACUUAGCCUGAGCCAUCUAACAUGUGUGUCAUC